rnacentral:rRNA from 1 species
UACGUAGGCAGCAAGCGUUGUUCGGAAUUACUGGGCGUAAAGAGUGUGUAGGCGGUGCUCUAAGUUCGGUGUGAAAUCUCCCGGCUCAACUGGGAGGGUGCGCCGGAAACUGGAAUGCUUGAGCGUGGGAGAGGAAAGCGGAAUUCCUGGUGUAGCGGUGAAAUGCGUAGAUAUCAGGAGGAACACCGGUGGUGUAGACGGCUUUCUGGACCGUAACUGACGCUGAGACGCGAAAGCGUGGGUAGCAAACAGG